rnacentral:lncRNA from 1 species
GCGGGUCGGAAGCUUGUGAGAGACACAAGGUACUCUGAUGGCGUCUCAAGAAAUUAAGUGUAGACAUGAGAUUCCAAACGGUAUCAGUUCCUUAUCAAAACCUCAGAGCGGAAGUGUAAGGUUUCUUCCUUAACUAGAUGAAAGAUAUGUAAAAGCCCAGCAACUAACAUUAUAUGCAAUGGAGUGAACCUCUCAAGGUGAGGAUGUGUCUAUAUUUAUGCUGCAGUGGCAUCUCAACUGGGCAGCUAGCUUUCAGAGGUUUAUUCUAAGUAUGGUAUUAUGGUGGCUUGAGUGAGAAUGGGCCCCAGAGGCGCAUGCGUUUGAAUUCUUGGCCUGAGGUUGGAGCUGUUAGGGAAGGAUUCGGGUGUAUGGCCUUGUUGGAAAAGCUGUAUCACUGGGGAUGGGCUUUGAAAGUUCAAAGUUCCCAGUAGCUGGUACUCUCUCAGCCUCACACUUGAAGAUGAGAUUUUAAAUUCUCAGCGACUGCUUCAGCACCGUGCUGGCUGCCAUGCUCUCUACCAAGAUGGUCAUGGACUUAACAUUGAUCCUGACAAUAGAAAAGCAGAUAAGGCAGAAGUUAUGUCACUCAUGAGCUUGAACGUAUAAAUUCCCAUCUCAAGAAACUAGAAAAGAUCAAAUUAAAGCCAAAGUAAGUAGAAGAGAAGGAGCAAUAAAACUCAGCU